GACGAACGCUGGCGGCGGGCUUAACACAUGCAAGUCGAACGGAAAGGCCCUGCUUUUGUGGGGUGCUCGAGUGGCGAACGGGUGAGUAACACGUGAGUAACCUGCCCUUGACUUUGGGAUAACUUCAGGAAACUGGGGCUAAUACCGGAUAGGAUAUCCUGCUGCAUGGUGAGGGUUGGAAAGUUGCGGCGGGUGGGGAUGGACGCGCGGCUUAUGAGCUUGUUGGUGGGUAGUGGCUUACCAAGUCUUUGCCGGGUAGCCGGCCUGAGAGGUGGAACGGCGUCCAUGGGCCUGCGAUACGGCCCAGACGCCUACGGGAGGCAGCAGGGGGGAAUAUUGCACAACGGGCGGAAGCCUGAUGCAGCAACGCCGCGUGCGGGAUGACGGCCUUUGGGUUGUAAACCGCUUUCGCCUGUGACGAAGCGUGAGUGACGGUAAUGGGUAAAGAAGCACCGGCUAACUACGUG
rnacentral:rRNA from 1 species